GGGUUGUGAGGUUAAGCGACUAAGCGUACACGGUGGAUGCCCUGGCAGUCAGAGGCGAUGAAGGACGUGCUAAUCUGCGAUAAGCGUCGGUAAGGUGAUAUGAACCGUUAUAACCGGCGAUUUCCGAAUGGGGAAACCCAGUGUGAUUCGUCACACUAUCAUUAACUGAAUCCAUAGGUUAAUGAGGCGAACCGGGGGAACUGAAACAUCUAAGUACCCCGAGGAAAAGAAAUCAACCGAGAUUCCCCCAGUAGCGGCGAGCGAACGGGGAGCAGCCCAGAGCCUGAAUCAGUGUGUGUGUUAGUGGAAGCGUCUGGAAAGGCGUGCGAUACAGGGUGACAGCCCCGUACACAAAAAUGCACAUAUUGUGAGCUCGAUGAGUAGGGCGGGACACGUGGUAUCCUGUCUGAAUAUGGGGGGACCAUCCUCCAAGGCUAAAUACUCCUGACUGACCGAUAGUGAACCAGUACCGUGAGGGAAAGGCGAAAAGAACCCCGGCGAGGGGAGUGAAAAAGAACCUGAAACCGUGUACGUACAAGCAGUGGGAGCCUCUUUUAUGGGGUGACUGCGUACCUUUUGUAUAAUGGGUCAGCGACUUAUAUUCUGUAGCAAGGUUAACCGAAUAGGGGAGCCGAAGGGAAACCGAGUCUUAACUGGGCGUUAAGUUGCAGGGUAUAGACCCGAAACCCGGUGAUCUAGCCAUGGGCAGGUUGAAGGUUGGGUAACACUAACUGGAGGACCGAACCGACUAAUGUUGAAAAAUUAGCGGAUGACUUGUGGCUGGGGGUGAAAGGCCAAUCAAACCGGGAGAUAGCUGGUUCUCCCCGAAAGCUAUUUAGGUAGCGCCUCGUGAAUUCAUCUCCGGGGGUAGAGCACUGUUUCGGCAAGGGGGUCAUCCCGACUUACCAACCCGAUGCAAACUGCGAAUACCGGAGAAUGUUAUCACGGGAGACACACGGCGGGUGCUAACGUCCGUCGUGAAGAGGGAAACAACCCAGACCGCCAGCUAAGGUCCCAAAGUCAUGGUUAAGUGGGAAACGAUGUGGGAAGGCCCAGACAGCCAGGAUGUUGGCUUAGAAGCAGCCAUCAUUUAAAGAAAGCGUAAUAGCUCACUGGUCGAGUCGGCCUGCGCGGAAGAUGUAACGGGGCUAAACCAUGCACCGAAGCUGCGGCAGCGACGCUUAUGCGUUGUUGGGUAGGGGAGCGUUCUGUAAGCCUGUGAAGGUGUGCUGUGAGGCAUGCUGGAGGUAUCAGAAGUGCGAAUGCUGACAUAAGUAACGAUAAAGCGGGUGAAAAGCCCGCUCGCCGGAAGACCAAGGGUUCCUGUCCAACGUUAAUCGGGGCAGGGUGAGUCGACCCCUAAGGCGAGGCCGAAAGGCGUAGUCGAUGGGAAACAGGUUAAUAUUCCUGUACUUGGUGUUACUGCGAAGGGGGGACGGAGAAGGCUAUGUUGGCCGGGCGACGGUUGUCCCGGUUUAAGCGUGUAGGCUGGUUUUCCAGGCAAAUCCGGAAAAUCAAGGCUGAGGCGUGAUGACGAGGCACUACGGUGCUGAAGCAACAAAUGCCCUGCUUCCAGGAAAAGCCUCUAAGCAUCAGGUAACAUCAAAUCGUACCCCAAACCGACACAGGUGGUCAGGUAGAGAAUACCAAGGCGCUUGAGAGAACUCGGGUGAAGGAACUAGGCAAAAUGGUGCCGUAACUUCGGGAGAAGGCACGCUGAUAUGUAGGUGAAGUCCCUUGCGGAUGGAGCUGAAAUCAGUCGAAGAUACCAGCUGGCUGCAACUGUUUAUUAAAAACACAGCACUGUGCAAACACGAAAGUGGACGUAUACGGUGUGACGCCUGCCCGGUGCCGGAAGGUUAAUUGAUGGGGUCAGCGCAAGCGAAGCUCUUGAUCGAAGCCCCGGUAAACGGCGGCCGUAACUAUAACGGUCCUAAGGUAGCGAAAUUCCUUGUCGGGUAAGUUCCGACCUGCACGAAUGGCGUAAUGAUGGCCAGGCUGUCUCCACCCGAGACUCAGUGAAAUUGAACUCGCUGUGAAGAUGCAGUGUACCCGCGGCAAGACGGAAAGACCCCGUGAACCUUUACUAUAGCUUGACACUGAACAUUGAGCCUUGAUGUGUAGGAUAGGUGGGAGGCUUUGAAGUGUGGACGCCAGUCUGCAUGGAGCCGACCUUGAAAUACCACCCUUUAAUGUUUGAUGUUCUAACGUGGACCCGUGAUCCGGGUUGCGGACAGUGUCUGGUGGGUAGUUUGACUGGGGCGGUCUCCUCCUAAAGAGUAACGGAGGAGCACGAAGGUUGGCUAAUCCUGGUCGGACAUCAGGAGGUUAGUGCAAUGGCAUAAGCCAGCUUGACUGCGAGCGUGACGGCGCGAGCAGGUGCGAAAGCAGGUCAUAGUGAUCCGGUGGUUCUGAAUGGAAGGGCCAUCGCUCAACGGAUAAAAGGUACUCCGGGGAUAACAGGCUGAUACCGCCCAAGAGUUCAUAUCGACGGCGGUGUUUGGCACCUCGAUGUCGGCUCAUCACAUCCUGGGGCUGAAGUAGGUCCCAAGGGUAUGGCUGUUCGCCAUUUAAAGUGGUACGCGAGCUGGGUUUAGAACGUCGUGAGACAGUUCGGUCCCUAUCUGCCGUGGGCGCUGGAGAACUGAGGGGGGCUGCUCCUAGUACGAGAGGACCGGAGUGGACGCAUCACUGGUGUUCGGGUUGUCAUGCCAAUGGCACUGCCCGGUAGCUAAAUGCGGAAGAGAUAAGUGCUGAAAGCAUCUAAGCACGAAACUUGCCCCGAGAUGAGUUCUCCCUGACCCUUUAAGGGUCCUGAAGGAACGUUGAAGACGACGACGUUGAUAGGCCGGGUGUGUAAGCGCAGCGAUGCGUUGAGCUAACCGGUACUAAUGAACCGUGAGGCUUAACCUUACAACGCCGAAGGUGUUU
rnacentral:rRNA from 1 species